AAAUUGAAAAUUCAGUUGAAGCAGUAUUAUCAUUUCCAGCAGCAGCAUCAUCGUAAUUAUUGUUACGAAUAUAAGAAAAAAUAAUAUUCGGUUCAACACUUGAGAUUUUUCAUCUUAUCUCAUUCACCGUCCAACGCAGUGCAGCGUAUAGUAGUAACCAAUAUCCAUCAGCAUGGAGCAAGACCUUAAAGCCGUUCUUCAUCCCCAACAACAGCCAAUACCCUUCUUGGUUGUCUACCGAGCAAGAAGCACGUGUGCGUCAAUAUACGUGGUGGAUUUCCCAAGAAGAUCGGUAUAUACUGCUCUCCAGCAGCCAGCAAUAUACACGUCGUAUAUCACCUGGCUCAGCUAAUACCGGGUGAGAUGUGCGUGAGGCUAUCUACGCUCCAUAAAACACUCAGAUAGUAUGGCGAGGGAAAGCAAAGUCCUCUGCCGAAUUGUAUAUAUCUAUAUGCCGUAUAUCGUACUCCAAACACUAGGUACAUAUUGAGAGAGAUAGCUGCUCGCAAACAGAAGACCAAGGAAAGGAAGACAAAAGAAAGACUAAACUGAACAUGAAGGAAUAGGGCGGAUGACUGUCAACGCAGGUGCAAACAGUCUCAUCAUAAAUAUGCUGUGCUGGGAACAGUUUUUUCCAACCUUAUAUCGGAAAUUUAAUUGGGGCGUGGUUGGAGCCAUUAUUUUAUCUUUUUUUGGACAUGGAAGUGGAGGCAGGAGCAUUACACCAUCGGAGAUAAAAAAAUAUAAUAGUGUGUCAUGACCGAGUGAAGGCCAUAAUGAAUCUUUAUGGAAUAGUGUCGUGAACUUGUAUUCCCUCUGAUGACUGACUGAACUCUCAUCUCAUCUCGAUAGGACAGGCUGUCUACUGACCAGUGGCGCAAUCUCCGUUUAAACUUAACCGUUACAGCUGUCACAAAAAAGGAAUCAUUAAAAAAGUGGUGUCUAAUGAGCCAUUGAGUACUUUACGGAAAGUCGCGAGUGCUGAGGGAAUAAACUUUAUUUUUCAGUAAUGACCUGGCCCUGAAACAAGGAUCGAUAAAAGCAGGCGAGUCAUUGUGCGUGACAAGCGGAUGGGAAAACACGGUGUUGGCUAUCAGGGAACGGAUCGCCCGACAUAACAUUUUCAACAGUGUUUCAAUUCAUGUUACCAAAAUUCAGGAAGACCCAAGUACAAGAAAUUGUCCGGAGCUCCCAACUACUCAUUCUGCUAACACACGUACUCCUUGUUCUCGAACACCGGCGACUCAUUCGAGGAACAUACACGGGUUGAAGACUCUUCAGUUGGCCCUGUACUAAAAAAUUGGUUGACAAAUGUUUGGCAUUAGUGUGUGUACUUGUCUACUACAGAGCACUUUCGAGGAAUUACCUGAACCGGAAAAACUGAGUACAGAUGGAUGAAGACGCAGUAGGACUGGAUGAUCCCGAGGGCUGAAUUUGCGAGAAGUACAAAGCAGCUGAAAAUUUCUAGUCUACUGGGAUUUUGUCUUUUGAUUUCAAGAAACGAUGAUGGAUUCUAUCAACCGGAGGGAUGUGAUGGGAAGAGUAGAUUCCAUUUAUAGGUUUUGGGUUAUGGAGCCAGGUCUGUUAUGUAUCACUGUUUAAUGUAAGUUGUCCUGGAGCGUCACAAGCUAA
rnacentral:lncRNA from 1 species